rnacentral:rRNA from 1 species
AAUGAACGCUUGCGGCGUGCCUAACACAUGCAAGUCGUACGAGAACUCCUGUGCUUGCACAGGAUAGUAAAGUGGCGCACGGGUGAGUAACGCGUGGGUAAUCUACCCCUGGAUUCGGGAUAACACCACGAAAGAGGUGCUAAUACCGGAUAACAUCCUUUUAACUGCGGUUAUUUGGAUCAAAGGUGGCCUCUACAUGUAAGCUACUAUCUGGGGAGGAGCCCGCGUACCAUUAGCUAGUUGGUGAGGUAACGGCUCACCAAGGCUACGAUGGUUAGCUGGUCUGAGAGGAUGAUCAGCCACACUGGAACUGACACACGGUCCAGACUCCUACGGGAGGCAGCAGUGAGGAAUAUUGCGCAAUGGGGGAAACCCUGACGCAGCAACGCCGCGUGAGUGAUGAAGGCCUUUGGGUCGUAAAGCUCUGUCUGGUGGGAAGAACCAGGACUGUUCGAAUAGGGCAGUCCCCUGACCGUACCACCAAAGAAAGCACCGGCUAACUCCGUGCCAGCAGCCGCGGUAAUACGGAGGGUGCAAGCGUUAUUCGGAUUUAUUGGGCGUAAAGGGCGCGUAGGCGGCCGCUUAAGUCAGAUGUGAAAGCCCGGGGCUUAACCCCGGAAGUGCGUUUGAUACUGGGUGGCUUGAGUAUGAGAAA